ACGCUCCCCGCAAAAAUACAUCCAAAACUAAAUACAAUUUGUGCCUGCGACGACGCUACAGGGCCAGCACCCGCCACUUAUGAAAAUAAAUAAUUAUUCAUAA